rnacentral:rRNA from 1 species
AUUAAACGCUGGCGGCAGGCCUAACACAUGCAAGUCGAACGGUAACAGGAAGAAGCUUGCUUCUUUGCUGACGAGUGGCGGACGGGUGAGUAAUGUCUGGGAAACUGCCUGAUGGAGGGGGAUAACUACUGGAAACGGUAGCUAAUACCGCAUAACGUCGCAAGACCAAAGAGGGGGACCUUCGGGCCUCUUGCCAUCGGAUGUGCCCAGAUGGGAUUAGCUAGUAGGUGGGGUAACGGCUCACCUAGGCGACGAUCCCUAGCUGGUCUGAGAGGAUGACCAGCCACACUGGAACUGAGACACGGUCCAGACUCCUACGGGAGGCAGCAGUGGGGAAUAUUGCACAAUGGGCGCAAGCCUGAUGCAGCCAUGCCGCGUGUAUGAAGAAGGCCUUCGGGUUGUAAAGUACUUUCAGCGGGGAGGAAGGGAGUAAAGUUAAUACCUUUGCUCAUUGACGUUACCCGCAGAAGAAGCACCGGCUAACUCCGUG